rnacentral:misc_RNA from 1 species
CCUCCUUAUACGAUUUAGAACUUAUUUGUUCGUAGUGUCCACACAGAUGAUUGUUAGUUAGUUUUACCCUUUGGGUUUAACUGAUUAAUAUGCUCUUUAAAAAUUUGGAAAAGCUGAUAAUAAAAUUCGUAUGAAUAACAGUGUUAUUUGUACAGAGUUUUCAAAAGUAAAAAAGAAUGAUAGCAGUAUCAUUCAGUGCCAAUUUAAUCAUUUAUGAUUAAUUGGUAUCUACUUUAGUAUUCAAUAUUAACUUCUGGCGAAGUUAAACUGUCACUAACAAAGACCCGUUUGGGUUGUAUGGUUAAGUGACUAAGCGUACACGGUGGAUGCCUUGGCAGUUGGAGGCGAUGAAGGACGUAUUAACUUGCGAUAAGCCUAGUCAAGCUAGAAAAAAAGCGCUUGAGACUAGGAUUUCCGAAUA